AGUAAGAGCUAUGACAAACGAUUUUGUGAACACGAGAGGAAUAAUUAAACCAUUACACAAAUGAAAAAGAUCAAGAAAAUAAAAAUUCAAGUACAGAGACCACCCUCACCAGUCACUCCCCUCUUUCAAAGAUAUCCAGCUGCUUCAAAAUAAUUACAAAUCUUCAUCACAAACAAUGGUUCCCUCUCUCUCUCUCUGAAAUCUCUUUUAUCAUAAUGAUUUUUAUCACAUCAAUUUACAACUCUCUAUUUAUAUAUGUAUAUACCCGUAGUUAAUUAAUUAAUAUUGUGGAUGAGCUUUAAGAAUAACUAUGGCCGCAGAGUUAUUCCCAUCUCCAGUUAUCAUCUACUAGACGAUAUAUUGAUGGAAAUUGAGAUAAUUAAUAAUCCUCAUCAUUAAUUAUCAGCAAGCAUAGAACUGAACCAGCUCGUCCAGAGACUCGGGCUGUGGAUCAGCGUUCUCCAACAUCCAUAGCAAGUGUUCGAACAAAACCACUUCACAUGCAAUGCUGAUACUAUCCGACUCACUCGACCUCUCUGCAAGCUCGCGAAACAGCGGGUGGUCGAUCACGUCCGAGCUUACCAGGUAGCGUCUGCGAGACUUCCCCACGUACACCGGGUGGAGAUCUCCGGUGGAGGAGGAGGAGUCCACGGUGUCGGCUAUGGAGCGGCUUUGCUUAUUGAAUGAGUUGAGUUUCUUGAGGACUGACUUCAGCUUGGUGAGCUUGCCACCUUUGGCCAUUUUCUUGGGUUUUAUGGGGGAAAAAGAAAGGACAAACAAGAAUGGGCUAUUGCUGUUGAAUGAG
rnacentral:misc_RNA from 1 species